rnacentral:rRNA from 1 species
GAUGAACGCUGGCGGCGUGCCUAAUACAUGCAAGUCGAGCGAAUUGACAGAGGUGCUUGCACCUCUCGAUUUUAGCGGCGGACGGGUGAGUAACACGUGGGUAACCUACCUAUAAGACUGGGAUAACUUCGGGAAACCGGAGCUAAUACCGGACAAUAUUUAGCUUCGCAUGAAGCAAUAGUGAAAGACGGUUCUGCUGUCACUUAUAGAUGGACCUGCGGUGUAUUAGCUAGUUGGUGAGGUAACGGCUCACCAAGGCAACGAUACAUAGCCGACCUGAGAGGGUGAUCGGCCACACUGGGACUGAGACACGGCCCAGACUCCUACGGGAGGCAGCAGUAGGGAAUCUUCCGCAAUGGACGAAAGUCUGACGGAGCAACGCCGCGUGAGUGAAGAAGGUUUUCGGAUCGUAAAACUCUGUUGUAAGGGAAGAACAAGUACGUUAGUAACUGAACGUACCUUGACGGUACCUUACCAGAAAGCCACGGCUAACUACGUGCCAGCAGCCGCGGUAAGAC